AUGUCUAUCAGUGAAAUUCCAGCUUAGCUCUGUAGUGGCUUCAUAGAAUCCAGUCAUUGCAGCAAUUUCAGGCAGCAGAGAGUUGGGGCAACCUGCAUGUCCAUCACCAGAAUGAGUCUAGGGGUCAGAAAUCUGCAAUCAGUUUCGGUGGACCAAAAUGAAAAUGUCAAACAGGGUGUCUGACACCCUCCAGAAGCACCAGAGGAGAAGCAGCUUUCCUUGGCCUUCCCAGGUUCUACAGGGACAUUCCUUGGCUCAUAGCUCCCCCUCCCAUUUUCUUUCUUUCUUUUCUUUUCUUUUCUUUUCUUUUCUUUUCUUUUUUUUCUUUUUUUUUUUUUUGAGACAGAGUCUCGCUCUGUCACCCAGGCUGGAGUGCAGUGGCGCCAUCUCGGCUCACUGCAAGCUCCGCCUCCCGGGUUCACGCCAUUCUCCUGCCUCAGCCUCCCGUAGCUGGGAUUACAGGCACCCGCCACCACGCUCGGCUAAUUUUUUGUACUUUUAGUAAAGACGGGGUUUCACCGUACUAGCCAGGAUGGUCUCGAUCUCCUGACCUCGUGAUCAGCCCGCCUCGGCCUCCCAAAGUGCUGGGAUUACAGGCGUGAGGCACCGCGCCCGGCCUCCUCCUCCCGUUUUCAAAGUCACCAGCGUAGCAUCCUGAUUCAAGAUCACAUUGUCUUCUUUUUUUUUUGUAGCCAAAUCUCCCUCUGCCUCUCUCCCCUGGUGACGACAAUGGCUGGGGUCUUGACUUGCCAAGGUAACUCGUUGGGGAGCAGAGAGUGGGAUCCGCAGUGUUCUGGUGGCUGUUGGGAUCUGGGCGCGAGGAAGGAGAGUGGCUCUCAUGAUUCUCUGCAUUCUCAGUGCAGCGUGGCCCGUACUGGUCACCUGGGUAUAGCUUUACUGAAUUUCGCAGAUCUGGAAACGGAGAAGGGACUGGAUCUCCAAACUUGGACUGCCUUGGACUGACCCUGGCCUGGAAGGUGUGGGCUCAGGACUCCGAGCUCAAGUCAGUCUGUUCCCCCAACCCCUAACCCACUGCAUCCGGGUGAGGAGUUGGGCCCGAGCGCCACAGCGCAGAUAGGGUUGUUAGGAGCGAAAGACUGGAGACCCAGGGACUGUGGGGCUGGGCUGGUGGGGCCACUGCUACCGACUAAGCAGUACGGGCCGCCUGGAAGACCGAAGGCGGAGUUCGCUGAUGCGGAAGCCAAGGCACAGGGCAAUAAGGAUCCGCGCCAUUUCUUGUGAUGUCACCUGAAGCCUUGGCGGGUAGCUGCCUCUCAUCCAUUCGGAGGACAGGGCUCCAGCCACCGGCAGCUCUGAAAGAGUUUGAAGAAUUUAUUGUUCACAGAUGGUAUUUAAAUGGACUUAUUUCUAAAAGUCACAUUCCUUUAUUACUUAUUUGUUAUUAGAAGUACCCAUUUUCAUAUGUGUUUAAAACUAUUUGUGUCUCAAAUUCUCAGGAGAUUGAUGCAUCCCAG
rnacentral:lncRNA from 10 species